GAAUAUCUGUGCAAAUACUAAGUCUAAAGGAACUACACAUUUAGAUAGUAGUUAUGAUGUUACCGUAGCAACAUACUCGCUACCAGACCUCUACCUUCCUAAAAU